rnacentral:lncRNA from 1 species
ACAUAUUCAAUUGGUGAGUAUAUUAUACAUGUUUGGGACAACAAGGAGUUGUAAAAAAUUACUUUUAAAUUGGAUUUGGGACGAGUACACAUGCACGCACAUUCUAGAUGAGUUUGAGUGGUUGAACUUGAUCACUAUUUUAAUAUCAACAAAAAUACCGCAACUAACAUAGUGAAAUCGUAGUACUAAAUAGCAAGCAAAGUAUCGUAUCCUCAAGCAAAAACACUCCAAGUAAUCCUAAUAAAUUGUCAAGCAAUAUUCAGGAAACUCAAAUAUGAUGAGUACUCAAAACUAGACUAAAAAAAACAAAUAAAAAU